GCUCCCGUGGCCUAAUGGAUAUGGCAUUUGACUUCUAAUCAGGGGAUUGUGGAUUCGAGUUCUACUGGUAGUG
rnacentral:tRNA from 1 species